GUCUUUUUGAGUAUAAUAUAAAGUCUGACCUGCCCAAUGAGUAUUUAAAUGGCCGCGGUAAUUUGACCGUGCAAAGGUAGCAUAAUCAUUAGUUUUUUAAUUGAAAGCUGGUAUGAACGGUUGGACGAGAAAGUAACUGUCUCAAUUUAAUUUAAUUUAGAACUUUAUCUGUAAGUAAAAAAGCUUACAUUGUUUUAAAAGACGAGAAGACCCUAUAGAAUUUUAUAACAAUAAAAGUAUGCUGUGAUUAGUAUUGUAAGCUAAUUACUUUUAAAGUUAUUUUGUUGGGGCGACAGAAAAAUUGGUUUAACUUUUUUUAUUUCUUUUCAUUAAUUUAUGUGUGUAUGAUCCGCUUGUAGCGAUUAUAAGAUUUAAUUACCUUAGGGAUAACAGCGUAAUUUUUUUUUAGAGUUCUUAUCGAAAGAAGAGUUUGCGACCUCGAUGUUGGAUUAAAAUUAACUUUUGGUGCAGGGGCUAAAAAGUUAGGUCUGUUCGACCUUUAAUAUUUUACAUGAUCUGAGU
rnacentral:rRNA from 1 species